rnacentral:tRNA from 3 species
GUGAUUGUAGCUCAGCUGGUUAGAGCGCCUGACUGUGACUCAGGAGGUCGCCGGUUCGAACCCGGUCAGUCACCCCA